rnacentral:rRNA from 1 species
CCUACGGGAGGCAGCAGUAGGGAAUCUUUCACAAUGGGCGAAAGCCUGAUGGAGCAACGCCGCGUGCAGGAUGAAGGCCUUCGGGUUGUAAACUGCUUUUAUAAGCGAGAAAUAUGAUGGUAACUUAUGAAUAAGGAUCGGCUAACUACGUGCCAGCAGCCGCGGUCAUACGUAGGAUCCGAGCAUUAUCCGGAGUGACUGGGCGUAAAGAGUUGCGUAGGUGGCAUAAUAAGUAGCUAGGGAAAUCUGGUGGCUCAACCAUUCAGACUAUUAGCUAAACUGUUAAGCUCGAGACCGUUAGAGGUAACUGGAAUUUCUAGUGUAGGAGUGAAAUCCGUAGAUAUUAGAAGGAACACCAAUAGCGUAGGCAGGUUGCUGGGACGGUUCUGACACUAAGGCACGAAAGCGUAGGGAGCAAACGGGAUUAGAUACCCGAGUAGUC